CCCUUAGAUGUUCUGGGCUGCACGCGCGCUACACUGAUGCGUUCAACGAGUUUAUGACCUUGCCCGAUAGGGUUGGGUAAUCUUUUUAAAUCGCAUCGUGAUGGGGAUAGAUUAUUGCAAUUAUUAAUCUUCAACGAGGAAUUCCUAGUAAGCGCGAGUCAUCAGCUCGUGCUGAUUACGUCCCUGCCCUUUGUACACACCGCCCGUCGCUCCUACCGAUUUCGAGUGGUCCGGUGAGCCUUUUGGAGAGUGAGCGUCCUUGAGGCGCUUGCUCGAAGUCAGGCAAAUCUUACUACUUAGAGGAAGGAUAAGUCGUAACA
rnacentral:rRNA from 1 species